rnacentral:rRNA from 2 species
UGAGGUUAAGUUAACAAGGGCGCAUGGUGAAUGCCUUGGCACUAGGAGCCGAUGAAGGACGGGACUAACACCGAUAUGCUUCGGGGAGCUGUACGUAAGCUAUGAUCCGGAGAUUUCCGAAUGGGGCAACCCAGCAGUUUUAAUCAACUGUUACCACUAGAUGAAUUCAUAGUCUAGUUGGAGGUAAACGCUGUGAACUGAAACAUCUCAUUAGCAGCAGGAAUAUAAAGAAAUUUCGAUUCCCUAAGUAGCGGCGAGCGAACGGGGAACAGCCCAAACCAAAGUGCUUGCACUUUGGGGUUGUAGGACUGAACAUUUGAGUUACCAAAGAACUUGAUAGUCGAAGGAUUUGGGAAAAUCCGCCAUAGAUGGUGAUAGCCCAGUAGAUUAAAUCAAAUUCUCUCAGUUCAGGAUCCUGAGUACGGCGGAACACGUGAAAUUCCGUCGGAAUCCGGGAGGACCAUCUCCCAAGGCUAAAUACUACCUAGUGACCGAUAGUGAACCAGUACCGUGAGGGAAAGGUGAAAAGCACCCCGGGAGGGGAGUGAAAUAGUUCCUGAAACCAUGUGCCUACAAUAAGUCAGAGCGCGUUAAUGCGUGAUGGCGUGCCUUUUGUAGAAUGAACCGGCGAGUUAUGAUCCCGUGCAAGGUUAAGACUAAAAAGUCGGAGCCGUAGCGAAAGCGAGUCUGAAAUGGGCGUUUUGAGUACGAGGUUAUAGACCCGAAACCAGGUGACCUAUCCAUGUCCAGGUUGAAGGUGCGGUAAAACGCACUGGAGGACCGAACCCGUGUAAGUUGAAAAUUGCUGGGAUGAGGUGUGGAUAGCGGUGAAAUUCCAAACGAACUUGGAGAUAGCUGGUUCUCUCCGAAAUAGCUUUAGGGCUAGCCUCGGAAUUAGGAUCAUGGAGGUAGAGCACUAUUUGGACUAGGGGCCCGUCUUGGGUUACUGAAUUCAGAUAAACUCCGAAUGCCAUUGAUUCAUAUCCGGGAGUCAGACGAUGAGUGAUAAGAUCCACCGUCGAAAGGGGAACAGCCCAGACCAUCAGUUAAGGUCCCUAAAUGUAUGCUAAGUGGAAAAGGAUGUGGAGUUGCAUAGACAACUAGGAUGUUGGCUCAGAAGCAGCCACCAUUUAAAGAGUGCGUAAUAGCUCACUAGUCGAGUGAUCCUGCGCCGAAAAUGUACCGGGGCUAAGCAUACUACCGAAACCAUGGAUGCGACCAUUAGGUCGCGUGAUAGGAGAGCGUUCUAAGGGCGGUGAAGCAAGAUCGUGAGGACUUGUGGAGCGCUUAGAAGUGAGAAUGCCGGUAUGAGUAGCGAAAGAUAGGUGAGAAUCCUAUCCACCGAAUGACUAAGGUUUCCUGGGGAAGGCUCGUCCUCCCAGGGUUAGUCGGGACCUAAGUCGAGGCCGAGAGGCGUAGACGAUGGAUAACAGGUUGAGAUUCCUGUACUAGUUAAGUGCGUUUGAGCAAUGGAGGGACGCAGGAGGCUAAGAUGUGCAUUCUGUUGGAUUAGAAUGUCCAAGCAGUAAGUCUUGUGAAGAGUCAAAUGCUUUUCACUUUAAGGACAAGCUGUGAUGGGGAGCGAAAUUUAGUAGCGAAGCGUCUGAUGUCACACUGCCGAGAAAAGCUUCUAGUGAGUACUUAACUACCCGUACCGCAAACCGACACAGGUAGUCGAGGAGAGAAUCCUAAGGUGAGCGAGUGAACUCUCGUUAAGGAACUCGGCAAAAUGACCCCGUAACUUCGGGAGAAGGGGUGCUGAUCGCAAGAUCAGCCGCAGUGAAUAGGCCCAGGCGACUGUUUAUCAAAAACACAGGUCUCUGCAAAAUCGUAAGAUGACGUAUAGGGGCUGACGCCUGCCCGGUGCUGGAAGGUUAAAAGGAUGGGUUAGCUUCGGCGAAGCUCAGAAUUGAAGCCCCAGUAAACGGCGGCCGUAACUAUAACGGUCCUAAGGUAGCGAAAUUCCUUGUCGGGUAAGUUCCGACCCGCACGAAAGGCGUAACGAUCUGGGCACUGUCUCAACGAGAGACUCGGUGAAAUUAUAUUGUCCGUGAAGAUGCGGACUACCCGCGACAGGACGGAAAGACCCCAUGGAGCUUUACUGUAGCUUGAUAUUGAGUGUUUGUACAGCUUGUACAGGAUAGGUAGGAGCCAUAGAAACCGGAACGCUAGUUUCGGUGGAGGCGUUGGUGGGAUACUACCCUCGCUGUAUGACCACUCUAACCCGCACCACUAAUCGUGGUGGGAGACAGUGUCAGGUGGGCAGUUUGACUGGGGCGGUCGCCUCCUAAAAAGUAACGGAGGCGCCCAAAGGUUCCCUCAGAAUGGUUGGAAAUCAUUCGCAGAGUGUAAAGGCACAAGGGAGCUUGACUGCGAGACAGACAGGUCGAGCAGGGACGAAAGUCGGGCUUAGUGAUCCGGUGGUACCGUAUGGAAGGGCCAUCGCUCAACGGAUAAAAGCUACCCUGGGGAUAACAGGCUUAUCUCCCCCAAGAGUCCACAUCGACGGGGAGGUUUGGCACCUCGAUGU